AGGUUCAGCUGAAUGGGGAUAUUAUCAACGCGGUAUUCCGCCAUCAUUUUGGCAUUGCUUGGAAAACAAUGAAAUGUGCAUUGGUAGAAGGCAGUCACCUGUCGAUAUUAAAACGAAGGAGGUGGUAAAAAACGACAGAAUUGUCCCGUUUGACUUCUCGGAUCUAGAAAAUACAGAAGGAGUAAAAAUGGAGAUGGGAAACAAUGGUCAUGCAGUUAUAAUAGACUUUCCUGAUCAUCAGCCACUAAUUAAAAGAGGAGGUCUUCGGGAACCCCUUCAACUUAAAGGAUUUCAUUUCCAUUGGGG